GGGAGCAAUAGAAUGAUAGUCGUAGAGGAAAUGAGUGGAAAAAAGAGAUGCUUGCUAAGACACUAAGGUCUGUUGGGGUCAGAGGAUGGAACGGACUGAGUAAGAAAGUGGCAGACGGGACGAGUCGGGGGAAUGAUGGAGAAAAGGCGAGGAAGCAGUAAAGAGAGAGGAAAGCUGGAAGGAGGAGUGGAAGGAAAGAUCAAAUCAGGCAAUGCAGCAAAUGGCUUUGACAUCUGUAUUCCCACUUAGAGGACAGCGGAGCAGCAGAGAGGAGAUGAGAGUAGAGGCGAAACAGAACAAAGGAGAGAUUGGCAACGUAAAGCAUAAAACAACAAAGCGAACAGGCAGGAGAUCAGUUACAAAACAACCCCUUAAUACAGCCAAUGAGAAUCCCACCUCUCCCCAUCUGGUUGCAGGUGUGUGCGGAGUCAAGUUAAUGUGCUGGCAAAAUCAUUACAACAUUAUACAGUUAAAGUCCUCUGCAGUGGAAACAUCUUGACUGAAUCAUGACCAAAAAGGAAAGAAAAAAAAGUCCAAAGCAGCAAUCAAAUGACAACUGAGAUCCUGUGGAUUGAAAGUGACAGCAGUGGUUUGGCUAAAUCUCACUCUGCCUCAGCCAGUCAAGCAAAGGGUUUGAAAAACCAACAAAAACCGAGGCUGAAGGAGGACUGACUCUUAAAGUGGGAUUAGGCUCGAGAUCGGUUUAACCCUCGAUAUAAAAGCAUUAAAAAAAAGCUGUUAAAAGCAUGAGAAUGUGGUCAGAGCAGGAAGAUUUUUGUAGAGACAUGAUGUUCAGUUAUGUUAAUUACAGCAGAUACUGAAAACCAAAAGAGAUUGGGUUUGUUUUUUUUAUUAACUAUCGAAGAUAAAAACAAAAAUUUAAAAAAAAAUGGUGGUAUACUGCAAAAUGAAAACAUCAAGUCCAUAAUUUUACAUGCUGGGAUAUCAAUGAUUUACUGGAAAUGCUUUGAGGUAAAUUUUGUUAUUAACUGGAAAAUACGCUAACAGCUUGUCACUCUGUAAAACUGUCAUGAAAACAGUCGGCCUCACGGUGGUAAACUAAGGCCUGAAACACUGAAAAACCAACACAUUUAACACAUCAGAUUAUUUUAGAUUUCUCUCAACUCGGAAAUACGAUAAUCUGACAAUGACUUCUGGAUAUCUGACUUCCUGUUGCACAUGUAAGCACAGUGAACACACGGGUCGCACGUGUUUCUACAGGACUUUUAAUCAUUAGUUAUUAUAAAUCUCUGGCGCUCAUCCACAGCGUAUAUUUGCCCUGUCUCUCUCCCCUCACCCCCAACUGGUCGUGGCACAUGGCUUUCCCUCCCUGAGCCUGGUUCUGCCGCUUUCUUCCUGUUUAAAGGGAGUUUCUCCUUCCUGCUGUCACUAGAUGUUUGCUCAAAGGCAGUCAUGUAAUUGUUGGGGGUUUCUCUGUGUUAUUGUAGGGUCUUUAGCAUACAAUACAAAACACCUUGAGGUGAUUGUUGUUGUGAUUUGGCACUAUAAA